UGGGGAAAUGAUGAUACCAUAUCCACACGAGAUAUCUGCAGUCAUUAUGAUGAUCACAUCAUGCACUACCAUCUGAUAUCCU
rnacentral:snoRNA from 1 species